rnacentral:rRNA from 1 species
AUUGAACGCUGGCGGAAUGCUUUACACAUGCAAGUCGAGCGGCAGCGCGGGGCAACCUGGCGGCGAGCGGCGAACGGGUGAGUAAUGCAUCGGAACAUGUCCAUGUCGUGGGGGAUAGCCCGGCGAAAGCCGGAUUAAUACCGCAUACGCUCGAGAGAGGAAAGCCGGGGACCGCAAGGCCUGGCGCGAUUGGGUUGGCCGAUGUCCGAUUAGCUAGUUGGUGAGGUAAAGGCUUACCAAGGCGAUGAUCGGUAGCUGGUCUGAGAGGAUGAUCAGCCACACUGGGACUGAGACACGGCCCAGACUCCUACGGGAGGCAGCAGUGGGGAAUUUUGGACAAUGGGGGCACCUGAUCCAGCCAUUCCGCGUGAGUG